GAUAGAGAACUGGCUGCUUUUUAAAGUUUUACCUAAUGAGAUCAAUGUGAGUGAUCCUUUUAUAAUUUUAAGUUGUAAGGUAGAGAAAGCUAAGUAUCUAUUUCAAAAAAUUAAAAAAAAAGACAGAAUCACAGAUGUUAUCAAUAAAGUAUUUGAAGUUAAAGAUUUUAAUAGAUAUAAGGGUCAAUCUGUGUUAAAUUUUGGUGCAGGGAGUCAAUUUAGUUUUUAUGAAAAAAUCAAAAAAAGACUAGGUCACCUGGCACUACAGUCAACCUUCUUCCUUCAUGAUGAGGUUCAUCACUGGCAGUUGGAGGACUUUUCAAAUUUCCUGGCUGCAACUCAACCCAAAAACGUGCUUUUCACUGCAAUUUAUCCUCCCGAGUUACUUGAGGGUAUCGACUUUUCAAUGAAUACAAUAGCUUAUUCAUUUGAAAUU
rnacentral:misc_RNA from 1 species